rnacentral:rRNA from 1 species
GACGAACGCUGGCGGCGUGCUUAACACAUGCAAGUCGAACGGAAAGGCCCUGCUUUUGUGGGGUGCUCGAGUGGCGAACGGGUGAGUAACGCAUGAGUAACCUGCCCUUUACUUUGGGAUAACUUCAGGAAACUGGGGCUAAUACCGGAUAGGAGCUCCUGCUGCAUGGUGGGGGUUGGAAAGUUUCGGCGGUUGGGGAUGGACUCGCGGCUUAUCAGCUUGUUGGUGGGGUAGUGGCUUACCAAGGCUUUGACGGGUAGCCGGCCUGAGAGGGUGACCGGCCACAUUGGGACUGAGAUACGGCACAGACUCCUACGGGAGGCAGCAGUGGGGAAUAUUGCACAAUGGGCGGAAGCCUGAUGCAGCAACGCCGCGUGCGGGAUGACGGCCUUCGGGUUGUAAACCGCUUUCGCCUGUGACGAAGCGUGAGUGACGGUAAUGGGUAAAGAAGCACCGGCUAACUACGUG